ACGCUGGCGGCAGGCCUAACACAUGCAAGUCGAACGCACCGCAAGGUGAGUGGCGCACGGGUGAGUAACACGUGGGAAUGUACCCUUUGGUUCGGAAUAACGUUUGGAAACGAACGCUAAUACCGGAUGAGCCCUGUGGGGGAAAGAUUUAUCGCCAAAGGAGCAGCCCGCGUCUGAUUAGCUAGUUGGUGGGGUAAAGGCCUACCAAGGCGACGAUCCGUAACUGGUCUGAGAGGAUGAUCAGUCACACUGGAACUGAGACACGGUCCAGACUCCUACGGGAGGCAGCAGUGGGGAAUAUUGGACAAUGGGCGAAAGCCUGAUCCAGCCAUGCCGCGUGUGUGAAGAAGGUCUUCGGAUUGUAAAGCACUUUAAGUUGGGAGGAAGGGUAGUAACCUAAUACGUUGCUACUUUGACGUUACCGACAGAAUAAGCACCGGCUAACUUCGUG
rnacentral:rRNA from 1 species